rnacentral:rRNA from 1 species
CAUUCGCCCCAGGAUGGGACUGCGGCCGAUCAGGCUGUUGGCGGGGUAAUGGCCCACCAAACCUGUAACCGGUACGGGCUUUGAGAGAAGGAGCCCGGAGAUGGACACUGAGACAAGGGUCCAGGCCCUACGGGGCGCAUCAGGCGCGAAAACUUCGCAAUGCGCGAAAGCGUGACGAGGCUAGUCCGAGUGCUUCCCGCUGAGGGGAGCUUUUCUCGGCUGUAAAUAGGCCGGGGAAUAAGGGGAGGGCAAGUCUGGUGUCAGCCGCCGCGGUAAUACCAGCUCCUCGAGUGGUCGGGACGAUUAUUGGGCCUAAAGCACCCGUAGCCGGUUCGGUGAGUCCUCUGUCAAAUCCAACCGCUCAACGGUUGGCUCGCAGAGGAUACUGCCGGACUAGGAGGCGGGAGAGGCGGACGGUACUCCGCGUGUAGGGGUAAAAUCCUUUGAUCCGCGGAAGACCACCAGUGGCGAAGGCGGUCCGCCAGAACGCGCUCGACGGUGAGGGGUGAAAGCUGGGGGAGCGAACCGGAUUAGAUACCCGGGUAGUCCCAGCCGUAAACGAUGCGAGCUAGAUGAUUCAAUCGCAGUACGCGAUCGAAGUGUCGCAGGGAAGCCGUUAAGCUCGCCGCCUGGGGAGUACGGUCGCAAGGCUGAAACAACGGAACCGGAAAGAGAUUCUACCGUCCAGCCGACGUCGGACGGUUUCCGCGUGCUAUCAG